rnacentral:rRNA from 1 species
UACGUAGGGUGCGAGCGUUGUCCGGAAUUAUUGGGCGUAAAGAGCUUGUAGGCGGCCUGUUGCGUCCGCUGUGAAAGCCCGGGGCUUAACCCCGGGUCGGCAGUGGAUACGGGCAGGCUAGAGGUAGGUAGGGGAGAAUGGAAUUCCCGGUGUAGCGGUGAAAUGCGCAGAUAUCGGGAGGAACACCGGUGGCGAAGGCGGUUCUCUGGGCCUUACCUGACGCUGAGGAGCGAAAGCGUGGGGAGCGAACAGG